rnacentral:lncRNA from 1 species
GACGAAGAGGAGUCCCCGCGCCCCAGGAUGGAGCUUCCCGUACCCUCUCUUCGGGCUGUCCUGGGACUUCUCCCUCAAGCCCCCUCCUCGGCUGGGUUCUGCACUGCCCUUGGGACGCCUUGGAAUUGGGACUUCCAGGUGUUCCCAGCCCUCACCCCUCUAUGUACAGGCACCGAGAUGUGUCCCAUAGUGGGUUCUUGCCCACCCGACCCCCCAC